CCUACGGGAGGCAGCAGUAGGGAAUCUUCCGCAAUGGGCGAAAGCCUGACGGAGCAACGCCGCGUGAGUGAUGAAGGUUUUCGGAUCGUAAAGCUCUGUUGCCAGGGAAGAACGUCCGGUAGAGUAACUGCUACCGGAGUGACGGUACCUGAG
rnacentral:rRNA from 1 species